GAUCAUGGCUCAGGAUGAACGCUGGCGGCGUGCUUAACACAUGCAAGUCGAACGGAGUGCCCAUGACGGAGUUUUCGGACAACUGAUUGGGUUACUUAGUGGCGGACGGGUGAGUAACGCGUGAGUAACCUGCCUUGGAGUGGGGAAUAACAGUCGGAAACGACUGCUAAUACCGCAUGAUGCAUUUGGGCUGCAUGGCUCUGAAUGCCAAAGAUUUAUCG
rnacentral:rRNA from 1 species